rnacentral:misc_RNA from 1 species
GAUGAAGAACGUAGCGAAAUGCGAUAAGUAAUGUGAAUUGCAGAAUUCAGUGAAUCAUCGAAUCUUUGAACGCACCUUGCACCCUUUGGCUAUUCCGAAGGGUAUGCCUGUUUGAGUAUCAUGAACACCUCAACUCUCAUGGUUUGCCAUGAUGAGCUUGGACUUUGGGGGUCUUGCUGGCCUGUGGUCAGCUCCUCUCAAAUGGAUUAGCUUGCCAGUGUUUGGUGGCAUCACAGGUGUGAUAACUAUCUACGCUUGUGGUUUUCCACCAGGUAACCUUCAGCAAUGGGGGUUCGCUGGGGCUCAUAACUGUCUCUCCUCAGCGAGGACAGCUCUUUGAACGUUUGAUCUCAAAUCAGGUAGGACUACCCGCUGAACUUAAGCAUAUCAAUAAGCGGAGGA